rnacentral:rRNA from 1 species
CCUACGGGAGGCAGCAGUGGGGAAUAUUGCACAAUGGGGGAAACCCUGAUGCAGCAACGCCGCGUGAAGGAUGACGGUUUUCGGAUUGUAAACUUCUUUUCUUAGUGACGAAGACAGUGACGGUAGCUAAGGAAUAAGCAUCGGCUAACUACGUGCCAGCAGCCGCGGUAAUACGUAGGAUGCAAGCGUUAUCCGGAUUUACUGGGUGUAAAGGGAGCGCAGGCGGGACUGCAAGUUGGAUGUGAAAUACCGUGGCUUAACCACGGAACUGCAUCCAAAACUGUAGUUCUUGAGUGAAGUAGAGGCAAGCGGAAUUCCGAGUGUAGCGGUGAAAUGCGUAGAUAUUCGGAGGAACACCAGUGGCGAAGGCGGCUUGCUGGGCUUUAACUGACGCUGAGGCUCGAAAGUGUGGGGAGCAAACAGG